rnacentral:sRNA from 1 species
GAUCCUACAACUACUUUUUCCCUCUUUUGCUCACGCACCUCGAAGAACUCGUGCUCCCGCGGGAAGCGCACGGGGCGCGCAACGAAGCGAAACGGCGCGGCCCCAGCCGCGGGGUCCCGCUCUACAGGCAGUGGCUCCGCCGCCCCAGGCCCCGCAGCGAGGCGGGCGCACAGCGCGGGGGGUAGCUGCAUCACCCCGGGCGCGGGCGGGCGCAGCCUGUCGGCCACCGUCCGCGAUCCGAGCAGGACGUGACGUCACACGCACUUCCGCCGUCGUCGGGGGCUGCGCGGGCGCUGUGGCUCCGGGACUGCGGAGAACAUAUUGUGAUGUUGGUGCCUCAGAGCUAAAACUAUGAGUGAAUUUCGGAUUCACCAUGACGUCAAUGAACUGCUUAGCCUGCUGCGUGUCCACGGAGGAGAUGGGGCUGAGGUCUACAUUGACCUGCUUCAAAAGAACAGGACCCCGUACGUCACUACCACUGUCUCUGCUCACAGUGCCAAGGUUAAAAUUGCAGAGUUUUCUCGUACUCCGGAAGACUUUCUAAAGAAAUAUGAUGAACUGAAAUCUAAAAAUACAAGGAACCUUGACCCGCUGGUAUACCUGUUGUCAAAGCUCACGGAAGACAAAGAGACUCUGCAGUACUUACAACAGAAUGCAAAAGAAAGAGCUGAGCUUGCAGCUGCUGCUGUGGGCAGUAGUACCACCAGCGUCAACGUCCCUGCUGCGGCCUCCAAGAUCUCCAUGCAGGAGCUUGAGGAGCUGAGGAAGCAGCUUGGCAGCGUGGCCACAGGCUCCACUC